CCUACGGGAGGUAGCAGUGGGGAAUAUUGCACAAUGGGGGAAACCCUGAUGCAGCGACGCCGCGUGAGGGAGUACUGCCCUAUGGGUUGUAAACCUCUUUUGUCGGGGAGCAAAAGCCGGACGUGUCCGGCUGUGAGAGUACCCGAAGAAAAAGCAUCGGCUAACUCCGUGCCAGCAGCCGCGGUAAUACGGAGGAUGCGAGCGUUAUCCGGAUUUAUUGGGUUUAAAGGGUGCGCAGGCGGAUUUUUAAGUCAGCGGUCAAAUCGUGGGGCUCAACCCCAUCCAGCCGUUGAAACUGGGGAUCUAGAGUGUGCGAGAGGUAUGCGGAAUGCGUGGUGUAGCGGUGAAAUGCAUAGAUAUCACGCAGAACCCCGAUUGCGAAGGCAGCAUACCGGUGCACAACUGACGCUCAGGCACGAAAGCGUGGGUAUCGAACAGGAUUAGAUACCCGGGUAGUC
rnacentral:rRNA from 1 species